CAGGCUGAGGCUGUGAGCACAUUGCCCCUUUCAAGGCUGAUGGACCCCCAUUUGUUUCAGUUUUAAGGUCUCAGUAAUCUGAAAGCUGCUGGAAACAUUGGGCUCCCAGCAGUGAAGAGAUGCUGGCCUCCUGGGCACAGACCAAGUUUCCAUUCCUGUGAAAACGCAUCCCUUCGUGAUGGUGCCUGGGCUGGUUCAGCCUUAUCCAGUGGUGAACAUCCCAGAUGCAUAGAUGCCAAUUACUUAAAGGUGGGUUCAUAAGUGACAGGGAUUUUCCUUAGAUUGCACUCUUCCACCCUCAGCCAGCUGAGAGUCCUUUGCUUCAUGUUUUUUGUCACUGGGGAGUGAAGUUCUCUUGUCUGGGUCUGUAGUUUGGCUGGCAGUUAGGC
rnacentral:lncRNA from 1 species